rnacentral:rRNA from 1 species
CCUACGGGUGGCUGCAGUGGGGAAUAUUGCACAAUGGGGGAAACCCUGAUGCAGCGACGCCGCGUGAGUGAUGAAGUAUUUCGGUAUGUAAAGCUCUAUCAGCAGGGAAGAUAAUGACGGUACCUGACUAAGAAGCUCCGGCUAAAUACGUGCCAGCAGCCGCGGUAAUACGUAUGGAGCAAGCGUUAUCCGGAUUUACUGGGUGUAAAGGGAGCGCAGACGGCAGGGCAAGUCUGAUGUGAAAGUCCGGGGCUCAACCCCGGGACUGCAUUGGAAACUGUCCGGCUAGAGUGCAGGAGAGGUAAGUGGAAUUCCUAGUGUAGCGGUGAAAUGCGUAGAUAUUAGGAGGAACACCGAUUGCGAAGGCAGCUUACCAAGCUACUUCUGACGUUGAGGCACGAAAGCGUGGGGAGCAAACAGGAUUAGAUACCCCUGUAGUC